CAAACUCUGAAGCUGACAAGCCCAAAAGCUCUGUCUGGCCACUCUGGAACAAAAGGAUCCUCCCUUUUGUUGUUGCCUCAAAGGGAUGAGGCACAUUCCCAGCAAACACUUCCCACACAGCACAGAGGCACCUCUGGAGCUCAUGUUGCCACGGCUGCCAGGAGGACACGGCCUCCAGCUGGCGUGGCAGUGACAGCAGCAAAUUCCCAUGGUCUGGUGGCACAACAGAGAGACGAAGGCCAACAACGCCCACAGGAAGUGCAGGUUUAAUUCUGCUCCCUGUGCUGCCACAUCCCAGCAGGAAAUCUCCAGUGGGGAUAGAAACUCCCAGGAUGCACAAAAUGCAGCAUCUGUCACCCUGAUCCUGGUGAAACUCAGCGUAUGGGGCCGAAUUCUUCCAGAUAAACACUGACCUGAGCUGGCUAAGUCUCAGACACUGCCCCAGUUCUCACCUCCCACCUGCUCCCGGGGCUGCCACCACAUUCCUGACAAGGAGCCAAAGGCCCCUUUGGACAGGGCUUGCUCUGUGUCCCAGACAUUGGGGACUGCAGGGACCAGGGAAAGGACAGCCUGAAACCAGGGCAGAUUCCUCUGGAUUUGGGACACUCUGGGGACAAACAGGGACUCACCCUACACAAUGGGCAGGACCUGGGGCUCUCCAGUGCAGGCCAGCACUUCUGGAGCCUGUUUGGUUUGGCUGCUCAAACACCAAAGCUCUUGGCAAAGAUGGAAUGAGUUAAGUGGUUUUUUCCUGUCCUGAAAGAGAAGAGAAAGUGGAAAUUAAGUCCACUGAGAAAAGCAAAGACUCCUGGCUUUCCCACUUCUGUUCAAAUUGCUCACUAUAGGGUUUUAUCCAUAAAAAAUGAGAGGUGGCACCAAAUAAAAGUUCCCUUUUUCAAUGUUUUUUCCCCUACAUUUCUUUUCAUACAUAAAAAGGAUGCCCAUUUUUUCUUAUUGCAUUCUUUGCCUAAUUUUAACAGAACCAUUUUUUUCUUAUUGCAUUCUUUGCCUAAUUUUAACAGAACCAACAGAACAUUUCAUUCCAGGCCCCGCUUGUGAGUUAUCCCAUGCUUUGCCAUUGGACUUUGGACAAAGGAAGGGAAGGAUCUGUUUCACAUGGGUGUCAUCCAACUCCCAGCUCAGCUCCAGUGCUUUCCUUGGGAAAGGAUGUGCUGGAAUAAAAAACAUAAUCCUGGCCCAUAUGGUACCUACCCAUGGGUGGUCACUACUCUGUUCCUGGCAGAAGGAGACCUACUGACAGCUAAGUGGUUCAAUACUUGGCUGUGUUGCAGCAACAUGGAAGGGCUGGACUUGGCGCCUUCUCUCCUUUCCUGUUCUGAGAGCAGGCAGCAUUGGUGUAUUCAGGACACUGAUAGUUAUAAUAUUACCUGCGGUUUCCUGGAGCCAUGAAACAGCCAAUGCCUGCAGGGUGUUAUUCCCUUACAGCACAUUUGGAGAGAAACAAACUGCAGGAUACUCUUGUCCAAGCAAGCAGUUGCUUUCCUUCCCCUGAGAGAGCAUUGAAGUGCUUCUUGGAGUCAUUUUGCUAAUCCUGGCUGCAGGCCAACAAGGGUUCCCUGCAGUGUGAUGGAGUUCUCUGUGCCUGAGCUGGUUUUGUCCCACUGCCCCUGAGUGUGGCAGCACACAAUGUGCUGAUGUGGCUUUGUCGAUAUCAACACUAAAUUCCUGUGUGGCAUCUGCUGUGACUAUAAGGAGACACAGAUCUUCUUGAGUAACCACAGGUGCCACCUCGCCUUGGAGAGUCUUGCAUGGGGGUGAGUUCAGUACGGGGGAACUGUCUGAGGCACUCCAUCCUUAGGCUUUCCCCCCUCACCAGGUAUGGGAGGCACUUUCUAAUUAUUUUCUGAUACCAAUACAGAAAAAGCAUCACAAUGGCCUUACAGAACUACCUGAUCUCUUCAGUGCCACUGAAUUUCAGGAGCUUGCAAAAUUAUCUUCUCUGUGAUAGGUCCUUUCCUUGAUACACCUUCUACCUCAUUGCAAGCACAAGUUUUAGGUUCCCCUUUCCUCCACAGACUGGGCCAUCCAGCUAUCUAAGUAAUCAGUUCCAAAGCUUUGCCCCCCAGCCUCCACUCUGCACCACCUUCCACACCUUAAAUCAGCAGACUCCUGGUCUCCCCCAGCAGCUCAGAAGCCCCAGUUCUUACUGGUCUCCAGGGAAGUUGUUUGGGGUGCUGACACCUGUCACUGCCAGUCCUGGCCACGCUGCUCAGGGCAGCCACAGAGGGGCACUGGGACAGCCCCCAGCGCUGGGACAGGGAUUUCUGCUGGAACAUGUGCCACGUGCUGUCCCCACACUGGACACUCAGCAUGGCAACCCAGAGGUGUGCCCUGACCCUGCAGCUCCUCAUUUAUCCACAGGAGUCAGGCACUAGUUACCCUGACAAGGAUUUAAAAAAAUUAACAAAA